rnacentral:rRNA from 1 species
AACGAACGCUGGCGGCAUGCCUAACACAUGCAAGUCGAACGAGACCUUCGGGUCUAGUGGCGCACGGGUGCGUAACGCGUGGGAACCUGCCCUUAGGUUCGGAAUAACUCCCCGAAAGGGGUGCUAAUACCGGAUAAUGUCUUCGGACCAAAGAUUUAUCGCCUUUGGAUGGGCCCGCGUUGGAUUAGCUAGUUGGUAGGGUAAAAGCCUACCAAGGCGACGAUCCAUAGCUGGUCUGAGAGGAUGAUCAGCCACACUGGGACUGAGACACGGCCCAGACUCCUACGGGAGGCAGCAGUGGUGAAUAUUGGACAAUGGGCGAAAGCCUGAUCCAGCAAUGCCGCGUGAGUGAUGAAGGCCUUAGGGUUGUAAAGCUCUUUUACCCGAGGUGAUAAUGACAGUACCGGGAGAAUAAGCUGCGGCUAACUCCGUG